GUCAAUUUUUUUGGGGCAAACCCUAGCUUUUAAAUUUGAUGAUUGACCAUGGAUUAUUUGUGGGAAUGAUUACAUUAAUGGAAUUAUUCACUUGGGAGUUGAUUUUAUGGAACAAAAUGUAUAUUAAAUGGGUGGAAUUAUGGUUACUAGUUUCACUUGAUUGGAGAGUAAAACUAGUUUUAAACUUGGGAAGAAGGUUUUGUUGAUGAAUUAGUUAUUAGAAAAGGGAUUAGAAAGUGAGAUUAGUUCCAAUUGAUCAAAAGAAUGUUUGGAAAAUUCAUUCGAGCAUCGACCAAUUUUAGUUAAGUAUUAUAGAAGUAGGUCUUAAAGUUUCUUAAUUUAAUAGUGGUUGAUUAGUCAUCUUGUUAUGUAUUCUAUGUGGUGAUAAGGAGAUUGGAAGAACCUAUCGACCAUCUUAGGUUCAGCUUGUAUUAUAUAGUAGCUGAGUUGAGCACUACUGGGCCAGUUGAUCUAUCGAGUUGAGCCAUAGAUUGUCAAGCAUUGUAUGAAUCAUCUUUUUAGUUUAAUAGUUCAUAUUUUGGGAUAGACACCUCUUUUGGUCAGAAAUAAGUUCCAUGUGUUGGGCCUGCUAUGUUUUGUAUAUAUAUUAUGCAUUUUAGGUACUGUGGUUUAGAAAUUAUUGCAAAAGUCGAAUUGCCAGUAUUGUAUUUGAAUAGUUGAUAUUUUGAGGAGUCGGUGUACCCUGUUUUAAACUAUAUGUACAUGUUUGGGAUAUUUGAUUUUAUUUUCAAGUGGUUUUAGUCAAUUUUUCAGAGGGAA